ACUCCUACGGGAGGCAGCAGUGGGGAAUAUUGCACAAUGGGCGCAAGCCUGAUGCAGCCAUGCCGCGUGUAUGAAGAAGGCCUUCGGGUUGUAAAGUACUUUCAGCAGUGAGGAAGGUGGGUAUGUUAAUAGCAUACUCAUUUGACGUUAGCUGCAGAAGAAGCACCGGCUAACUACGUGCCAGCAGCCGCGGUGAUACGUAGGGUGCGAGCGUUGUCCGGAUUUAUUGGGCGUAAAGGGCUCGUAGGUGGUUGAUCGCGUCGGAAGUGUAAUCUUGGGGCUUAACCCUGAGCGUGCUUUCGAUACGGGUUGACUUGAGGAAGGUAGGGGAGAAUGGAAUUCCUGGUGGAGCGGUGGAAUGCGCAGAUAUCAGGAGGAACACCAGUGGCGAAGGCGGUUCUCUGGGCCUUUCCUGACGCUGAGGAGCGAAAGCGUGGGGAGCGAACAGGCUUAGAUACCCUGGUAGGAUAG
rnacentral:rRNA from 1 species